UACGUAGGGAUGCAAGCGUUGUCCGGAAUUAUUGGGCGUAAAGAGCGCGCAGGCGGUAUGACAAGUCAGAUGUGAAAGAGGCCGGCUUAACCGGCAAGGGUCAUUUGAAACUGUCAGACUAGAGUGCAGCAGAGGAUAGUGGAAUUCCCGGUGUAGUGGUGAAAUGCGUAGAUAGUCGGGAGGAACACCAGUGGCGAAGGCGACUAUCUGGGCUGCAACUGACGCUGAGGCGCGAAGGCUAGGGUAGCAAACAGG
rnacentral:rRNA from 1 species